UUGGUAAGGGAUAAUCUAAUUCGAUUUGAUCAUAAAAAGUCUACAACCCGAACAUGUCAAACUCGAAACUUGAAAUUGACCUCCAAAAUCACUCGAAACCCAAAACGAUCUGAACUCAAAAUAACCUUAGCACAUAACUUAAAAUGACCUGAACAAAACUUAAAAUGAUUAGAAUAUUAAAUGAUCAGACUCGAAAAACCCAAACCUAAAACCUAAAUAACCUAAACUCAAAAUAACAUGAACCCAAAAUGUUCAAAAUUAACUUUAACCCGAAAGAUCUCAACCGGAAUGAUUAGAAAACCUUAAAAUUUAAAUGGAUUCUAUCUAGAUUGACUAGACUCAAAACCAUGACAUUCUCAACUUACAAUUAGAAGCGUGCAUAAGUUUAGCAACUAGGUUGACUUAAUUCUUUUUAGACAAGGUUUAGGUUUAUAUUUUUCAAAUCCGGCCUAGUUCAAUCAUUUUUAACUUAAAGAAUAAAAUAGACUAUUUGAGUGGAUCUAAACAAACUAAGCUUAAACUCGAGUUUAUAAAUUUUUUGAAAUCGGACUUUAAAUUAGUCUAACUCGAUUCAUAAACGCAUAUUUGGACCCUAUUAUUAAUUUUCAAUGUAUUAAAUAUGUUUGCAGAGUGUACCAACCCACGGUGUCGCUUCAGGAAUGAGUGCCGUCGGAGGUGUUGUAAUGGAGAUCGUAAUCACUUUCGCCUUAGUCUACACCGUCUACGCCACCGCAGCUGAU
rnacentral:lncRNA from 1 species